ensembl:lncRNA
GGAGGCACAACCAGUUAUUGUAGUUAAAGGAGGCACAACCAGUUAUUGUAUCUAAAGGAGGCACAACCAGUUAUUGUAGUUAAAGGAGGCACAACCAGUUAUUGUAGUUAAAGGAGGCACAACCAGUUAUUGUAGUUAAAGGAGGCACAACCAGUUAUUGUAGUUAAAGGAGGCACAACCAGUUAUUGUAUCUAAAGGAGGCACAACCAGUUAUUGUAUCUAAAGGUGGCACAACCAGUUAUUGUAUCUAAAGGAGGCACAACCAGUUAUUGUAGUUAAAGGAGGCACAACCAGUUAUUGUAGUUAAAGGAGGCACAACCAGUUAUUGUAUCUAAAGGAGGCACAACCAGUUAUUGUAGUUAAAGGAGACACAACCAGUUAUUGUAGUUAAAGGAGGCACAACCAGUUAUUGUAUCUAAAGGAGGCACAACCAGUUAUUGUAGUUAAAG